UUGUUUUAAACGUGUGUGCACAGCGAGGUGCACAGCUGGGGGAGCGCGAAGCAGUAAAGAAGAGUGGAGAAGCAUAUCAGCCCUUUCUUUCUCCUAUGUGACUUGAAAGAGGUACCUCAAGCUCUCUGAUCUUCUUAGCACCUACCAGGAAUUGGACUGUUCGUAAUAGUCCCAACUUGUUAAGCUUGUUGGGGCCUCACUGGUGGUGCAAGGGGUUAAGCACUGCACUAUGAAGCAAUCCGCAGCCUCUGCAGCAGAAGUUCGAUCCCCGGCCAACCAGGGAGCAACCCACACGCCAAGCAGACCUCUCCUAUCUCGCCCGCUGCUCCCCUCAGCAGUGUAUUUCGGUUAGUCUGCCUGUUCUGUUCCCUACUCUGUCUCUGGUGAAUCCUCUCACCCCCCAUCCCCCGCAUCUCUGGCCUGUACCCCAACUCUU